rnacentral:lncRNA from 1 species
GAGGAUGCAAAUUAACAUUUAAAUUUUUUAGAACCAUGAAUUCUGUCAUAGAUGGAAAGGCAACACCAAUAGUUUUGUUACCUGUGAGAGAAGUGUUAGACAAAAUCCAAGCAAGUGCAGUCUUCCAAUGAGUUGUUUUGUUAUUAAAUCUAGCAAUGUUUCUAGCAUGCCAAAUAGAGUUCAGGAGAUUAACAAUAGCAGCUUUAAUUGUUAUCUUGCAUUGAGGAGACCAAAAACCAUCACACAAAAGCCAAAUAUCU